rnacentral:rRNA from 1 species
UUGAACGCUGGCGGAAUGCUUUACACAUGCAAGUCGGGCGGCAGCGCGGGGGCAACCCUGGCGGCGAGCGGCGAACGGGUGAGUAACAUAUCGGAACGUACCCAGACGUGGGGGACAACUAGUCGAAAGACUAGCUAAUACCGCAUACGUCCUGAGGGAGAAAGCGGGGGAUCGCAAGACCUCGCGCGUUUGGAGCGGCCGAUAUCUGAUUAGCUAGAUGGUGGGGUAAAGGCCCACCAUGGCGACGAUCAGUAGCUGGUCUGAGAGGAUGAUCAGCCACACUGGAACUGAGACACGGUCCAGACUCCUACGGGAGGCAGCAGUGGGGAAUUUUGGACAAUGGGGGAAACCCUGAUCCAGCCAUUCCGCGUGAGUGAAGAAGGCCUUCGGGUUGUAAAGCUCUUUCGGCAGGAACGAAACGGCGGAAUCUAAUACAUUCCACUAAUGACGGUGCCUGAAGAAGAAGUACCGGCUAACUACGU